rnacentral:rRNA from 1 species
AUUGAACGCUGGCGGCAGGCCUAACACAUGCAAGUCGAGCGGGGUUUUCGGACCUAGCGGCGGACGGGUGAGUAAUGCGUAGGAAGCUACCCGAUAGAGGGGGAUACCAGUUGGAAACGACUGUUAAUACCGCAUAAUGUCUACGGACCAAAGUGUGGGACCUUCGGGCCACAUGCUAUCGGAUGCGCCUACGUGGGAUUAGCUAGUUGGUGGGGUAAUGGCUCACCAGGGCGACGAUCCCUAGCUGGUUUGAGAGGAUGAUCAGCCACAAUGGAACUGAGACACGGUCCAGACUCCUACUGGAGGCAGCAGUGGGGUAUAUUGGACAAUGGGCGCAAGCCUGAUCCAGCCAUGCCGCGUGUGUGAAGAAGGCCUUCGGGUUGUAAAGCACUUUCAGUAGGGAGGAAGGGUUAAGUGUUAAUAGUACUUAACUUUGACGUUACCUACAGAAGAAGCACCGGCUAACUCUGUGCCAGCCGCCGCCGUAAAUAC